UUUAGACAAUUUGUUAUAUAUUUUAAUUGUCAUAUACUUAUGACUAUUGUUAGUUUUAGCUAAUCUAUUUUGUGGCAACAGCGGAGAAGUACACGUUCUUGUAUAGUAGUCAUGCCUUUCAUUUGUUACACUUAAAUUAGGUAGUUCAGCAAGUAUGUAGUUAACACUGUCAAGAAUAUAUAAAUUAAUAACUGUUAAAAUUCUAUAUUUAAUGAACAAUGGUUUACAAUGUGUUCUAUUAUCUACCUUAGCCAUUACUCUGAUUGCUUUUUUCUGGAUCACCAUAAUUUCAUUUAUUUUUCUGCUGUUUCCCCAGAGUAUUAACCCAUACCUUAAAACAGAUUGAAAAAAGGCAAAGUACGCUGUCCUUAUGUACUCAAAUGUUACACAACACAUCAGUCGCUUCAACGAAUAUAUAGGCCUAACUCUUGACAACCUAACCGCUAUGUGAUCAACAUGAGAGUUCCAUGUUAGACUGUUGUCAAGUACAAUACCUAAAACCUUUGCCUUUUGUUUUUCUAUUUUUGUAGUCUUUGAUAGACUGAACCAAUAUUCUGGGUCUUUUCCUCAUUUAAUAGCAGACCAUUGGCAUUAAACCAUGAUGUUGCAUUUUCUUUUGCCAAUUUCAUAUCACUUACAAGGUUAUCAUGUACAUGGUUUACAUAUAGAAAAGUUGUGUCAUCUGCAUACAUAUAUGUCUUUACAUCUAUUUGAAACAGUUUUGCACAAAAAUCCCGUACGUGUUAUCUUUCGUGAUCAUAGCAUACCAACCAAAUACCAUAAGUGUUAUUUUGAACAAAUGUACAAACUUUUGCAGGAGGAUGGAGGCUCCAGUCUUCAUACAACUGUCCUGAUUUGAGUUUUCCAUGGUUUCUCAAAAAUAAUUCAGGAAAUUUCGGAUUGUUCCUACUAUAUGGCCACAGCCAACUACCUUUUCCAUCCUUGUCAUACUAUACCCGAUGAAAACGGAUCCCGACGUACUUCAGGAACUGAACCAGCAAAUAUACAAAUUGAGUAGAUAUCUACCAAACAUAGGAGAUAGAUGAGGAUUCAUCAAAAUGUGGUUUGCUAAAGCUCAUUCUCAAAGUAACUGUGGAG